rnacentral:rRNA from 1 species
GAUGAACGCUAGCUACAGGCUUAACACAUGCAAGUCGAGGGGUAACGAGAGGAAGGCUUGCUUUCCUUGUCGACGACCGGCGCACGGGUGAGUAACGCGUAUCCAACCUGCCCCCAACUAGGGAAUAACCUUGCGAAAGUAAGACUAAUACCCUAUAAUUUCCUCAGAUGACAUCUGACGAGGAAUAAAGAUUUAUCGGUUGUGGAUGGGGAUGCGUCUGAUUAGCUUGUUGGCGGGGUAACGGCCCACCAAGGCAACAAUCAGUAGGGGUUUUGAGAAGAAGGGCCCCCAGAGUGGAACUGAGACCCGGACCAAACUCCUACGGGAGGCAGCAGUGAGGAAUAUUGGUCAAUGGGCGGAAGCCUGAGCCAGCCAAGUAGCGUGCAGGAUGACGGCCCUAUGGGUUGUAAACUGCUUUUAUACAGGAAUAAAGUUAGCCACGUGUGGUUAUUUGUAGGUACUGUAUGAAUAAGGACCGGCUAAUUCCGUGCCAGCAGCCGCCGUAA